rnacentral:rRNA from 1 species
GACGAACGCUGGCGGCGUGCCUAAUACAUGCAAGUAGAACGCACAGUUUAUACCGUAGCUUGCUACACCAUAGACUGUGAGUUGCGAACGGGUGAGUAACGCGUAGGUAACCUGCCUGGUAGCGGGGGAUAACUAUUGGAAACGAUAGCUAAUACCGCAUAAUAUUAAUUAUUGCAUGAUAAUUAAUUGAAAGGUGCAAUUGCACCACUACCAGAUGGACCUGCGUUGUAUUAGCUAGUAGGUGAGGUAACGGCUCACCUAGGCGACGAUACAUAGCCGACCUGAGAGGGUGAUCGGCCACACUGGGACUGAGACACGGCCCAGACUCCUACGGGAGGCAGCAGUAGGGAAUCUUCGGCAAUGGACGAAAGUCUGACCGAGCAACGCCGCGUGAGUGAAGAAGGUUUUCGGAUCGUAAAGCUCUGUUGUAAGAGAAGAACGAGUGUGAGAGUGGAAAGUUCACACUGUGACG